rnacentral:rRNA from 1 species
CCACACUGGAACUGAGACACGGUCCAGACUCCUACGGGAGGCAGCAGUGGGGAAUAUUGCACAAUGGGCGCAAGCCUGAUGCAGCGACGCCGCGUGAGGGAUGGAGGCCUUCGGGUUGUAAACCUCUUUUAUCGGGGAGCAAGCGAGAGUGAGUUUACCCGUUGAAUAAGCACCGGCUAACUACGUGCCAGCAGCCGCGGUAAUACGUAGGGUGCAAGCGUUAUCCGGAAUUAUUGGGCGUAAAGGGCUCGUAGGCGGUUCGUCGCGUCCGGUGUGAAAGUCCAUCGCUUAACGGUGGAUCCGCGCCGGGUACGGGCGGGCUUGAGUGCGGUAGGGGAGACUGGAAUUCCCGGUGUAACGGUGGAAUGUGUAGAUAUCGGGAAGAACACCAAUGGCGAAGGCAGGUCUCUGGGCCGUCACUGACGCUGAGGAGCGAAAGCGUGGGGAGCGAACAGGAUUAGAUACCCUGGUAGUCCACGCCGUAAACGGUGGAUGCUGGAUGUGGGGACCAUUCCACGGUCUCCGUGUCGGAGCCAACGCGUUAAGCAUCCCGCCUGGGGAGUACGGCCGCAAGGCUAAAACUCAAAGAAAUUGACGGGGGCCCGCACAAGCGGCGGAGCAUGCGGAUUAAUUCGAUGCAACGCGAAGAACCUUACCUGGGCUUGACAUGUUCCCGACAGCCGUAGAGAUACGGUCUCCCUUCGGGGCGGGUUCACAGGUGGUGCAUGGUCGUCGUCAGCUCGUGUCGUGAGAUGUUGGGUUAAGUCCCGCAACGAGCGCAACCCUCGCCCCGUGUUGCCAGCACGUUAUGGUGGGAACUCACGGGGGACCGCCGGGGUUAACUCGGAGGAAGGUGGGGAUGACGUCAGAUCAUCAUGCCCCUUACGUCCAGGGCUUCACGCAUGCUACAAUGGCCGGUACAACGGGAUGCGACACCGCGAGGUGGAGCGGAUCCCUUAAAACCGGUCUCAGUUCGGAUUGGAGUCUGCAACCCGACUCCAUGAAGGCGGAGUCGCUAGUAAUCGCGGAUCAGCAACGCCGCGGUGAAUGCGUUCCCGGGCCUUGUACACACCGCCCGUCAAGUCAUGAAAGUGGGCAGCACCCGAAGCCGGUGGCCUAACCCCUUGUGGGAUGGAGCCGUCUAAGGUGAGGCUCGUGAUUGGGACUAAGUCGUAACAAGGUAGCCGUACCGGAAGGUGCGGCUG